rnacentral:rRNA from 1 species
CAGUCAUACCAACGGGAAAUCAACCUUUUGAGCUUGGUCUCGUGGGUUUUGAAGAGUUUCAAAGCCUUCGGAUUCGCGAGAUUGGGAUCUCUUGGUGUACUUUUUCGUACGGUUAGUCAACAUCGGUUUUGAAUGUCAUAAAAUGACUGGAGGAAUGUAGCUUCGAUCUCGUAUUGAAGUGUUAUAGCCUUUGGUAGAUGUGAUUAUCGGGAUUGAGGAUUGCAACGGAUACCCUUCGGGGCUACUUGUCUGAUCUCUGAUCGUUGCUCUGGUGCCGAAAGCGUGCUUACGGUUAUCAAAGUCGAUGGUUAAUAGGUUAGAAUGGGUUAAA